ACUACGGGGGGCUGCAGUGGGGAAUAUUGGACAAUGGGCGAAAGCCUGAUCCAGCCAUGCCGCGUGUGUGAAGAAGGCCUUCGGGUUGUAAAGCACUUUCAGUGGGGAAGAAAGCCUUGGGGCUAAUACCCUCGAGGAAGGACAUCACCCACAGAAGAAGCACCGGCUAACUCCGUGCCAGCAGCCGCGGUAAUACGGAGGGUGCGAGCGUGAAUCGGAAUUACUGGGCGUAAAGCGCGCGUAGGCGGUCUGAUAAGCCGGUUGUGAAAGCCCCGGGCUCAACCUGGGAACGGCAUCCGGAACUGUCAGGCUAGAGUGCAGGAGAGGAAGGUAGAAUUCCCGGUGUAGCGGUGAAAUGCGUAGAGAUCGGGAGGAAUACCAGUGGCGAAGGCGGCCUUCUGGACUGACACUGACGCUGAGGUGCGAAAGCGUGGGUAGCAAACAGGAUUAGAUACCCCAGUAGUC
rnacentral:rRNA from 1 species